UGGCUCAGGAUGAACGCUAGCUACAGGCUUAACACAUGCAAGUCGAGGGGCAUCAGGAAGAAAGCUUGCUUUCUUUGCUGGCGACCGGCGCACGGGUGAGUAACACGUAUCCAACCUGCCCUUUACUCGGGGAUAGCCUUUCGAAAGAAAGAUUAAUACCCGAUAGCAUAAUGAUUCCGCAUGGUUUCAUUAUUAAAGGAUUCCGGUAAAGGAUGGGGAUGCGUUCCAUUAGGUUGUUGGUGAGGUAACGGCCCACCAAGCCUUCGAUGGAUAGGGGUUCUGAGAGGAGGGUCCCCCACAUUGGAACUGAGACACGGUCCAAACUCCUACGGGAGGCAGCAGUGAGGAAUAUUGGUCAAUGGGCGCUAGCCUGAACCAGCCAAGUAGCGUGAAGGAUGAAGGCUCUAUGGGUCGUAAACUUCUUUUAUAUAAGAAUAAAGUGCAGUAUGUAUACUGUUUUGUAUGUAUUAUAUGAAUAAGGAUCGGCUAACUCCGUGCCAGCAGCCGCGGUAAUACGGAGGAUCCGAGCGUUAUCCGGAUUUAUUGGGUUUAAAGGGAGCGUAGGUGGACUGGUAAGUCAGUUGUGAAAGUUUGCGGCUCAACCGUAAAAUUGCAGUUGAUACUGUCAGUCUUGAGUACAGUAGAGGUGGGCGGAAUUCGUGGUGUAGCGGUGAAAUGCUUAGAUAUCACGAAGAACUCCGAUUGCGAAGGCAGCUCACUGGACUGCAACUGACACUGAUGCUCGAAAGUGUGGGUAUCAAACAGGAUUAGAUACCCUGGUAGUCCACACAGUAAACGAUGAAUACUCGCUGUUUGCGAUAUACAGUAAGCGGCCAAGCGAAAGCAUUAAGUAUUCCACCUGGGGAGUACGCCGGCAACGGUGAAACUCAAAGGAAUUGACGGGGGCCCGCACAAGCGGAGGAACAUGUGGUUUAAUUCGAUGAUACGCGAGGAACCUUACCCGGGCUUAAAUUGCAGUGGAAUGAUGUGGAAACAUGUCAGUGAGCAAUCACCGCUGUGAAGGUGCUGCAUGGUUGUCGUCAGCUCGUGCCGUGAGGUGUCGGCUUAAGUGCCAUAACGAGCGCAACCCUUAUCUUUAGUUACUAACAGGUUAUGCUGAGGACUCUAGAGAGACUGCCGUCGUAAGAUGUGAGGAAGGUGGGGAUGACGUCAAAUCAGCACGGCCCUUACGUCCGGGGCUACACACGUGUUACAAUGGGGGGUACAGAAGGCAGCUAGCGGGUGACCGUAUGCUAAUCCCAAAAUCCUCUCUCAGUUUGGAUCGAAGUCUGCAACCCGACUUCGUGAAGCUGGAUUCGCUAGUAAUCGCGCAUCAGCCACGGCGCGGUGAAUACGUUCCCGGGCCUUGUACACACCGCCCGUCAAGCCAUGGGAGCCGGGGGUACCUGAAGUACGUAACCGCAAGGAUCGUCCUAGGGUAAAACUGGUG
rnacentral:rRNA from 1 species